rnacentral:rRNA from 1 species
GACGAACGCUGGCGGCGUGCCUAAUACAUGCAAGUCGAGCGGACUGAAUGGGAGCUUGCUCUUGUUCGGUCAGCGGCGGACGGGUGAGUAACACGUGGGCAACCUGCCCGCAAGACCGGGAUAACUCCGGGAAACCGGAGCUAAUACCGGAUAACACCGAAGACCGCAUGGUCUUUGGUUGAAAGGCGGCGCAAGCUGCCACUUGCGGAUGGGCCCGCGGCGCAUUAGCUAGUUGGUGAGGUAACGGCUCACCAAGGCGACGAUGCGUAGCCGGCCUGAGAGGGUGACCGGCCACACUGGGACUGAGACACGGCCCAGACUCCUACGGGAGGCAGCAGUAGGGAAUCUUCCGCAAUGGGCGAAAGCCUGACGGAGCGACGCCGCGUGAGCGAAGAAGGCCCUCGGGUCGUAAAGCUCUGCUGUGAGGGACGAAGGAGCGCCGUUUGAAGAAGGCGGCGCGGUGACGGUACCUCACGAGGAAGCCCCGGCUAACUACGUG